GCUUGGGUAGCUCAGUUGGUAGAGCACUUGCCCGUGAAAGGCAAAGGUCCCGAGUUCGAGUCUCGGUCCAGCGCA
rnacentral:tRNA from 1 species